UCAAGAAGGUAUCUAGAAUAAACUAGAACUCAGAGAAAACCAAAAGCAAAGCCAAUAUUUUCCUCUUUAUCAUUCCUAUAAUUAGGUGUUCUACUCAAGUAGUGACUUCAACUCAAAUUAAUUGGCUAAAAUAUGAUGCAUUAAUCAUCUAAUGCCAAAAUCUUAUUUUAUCACCAAUAACAGUUCUUCGCUAGUCACGACGUGUCCAAAUUCAGAUAUCCCAAGGGCUUCAUAUGAUCAAAAAUGAUUUCUAAGAAUUAGAGGACAGGCUGCGAAACCAGAAGAGUUGAGAACUCUCUCUACUUAUAGUGACAGAGUGACACUGGCCUAAUGAGAAUAAACUGAAUUCCUCGGAAAAUCUUCAGAUAAGCAAGUGCAGAUCAAAUACAUCAAACAAAGAGUCCUAUAUUUUCAAGGAAUGGGAUAUUAUGAUCUAGUUAUUGCUGAUACAGAGAAUAAAAGCAUGUUAAUCAUGAGUAAUGAAUGACGUUCAUCAACAACAGGGAAUUUGGUCUAGUGGUAUGAUUCACGCUUUGGGUGUGAGAGGUCCCAAAUUCAAUUCUCGGAAUGCCUCAUUUUAUUUCAUCGGAUACAUAAUUAAUCAAUUAUUCCCUGUAUCUGUUAAAAUAAAAUUAACCUUAAAAUCUGAUAAAUCAAAAUGCCUUUGUUCUUUAAAAAAGGGUUGUAACACAAUUGUUCAAUUAUCCGUUGUUUCUUUUAAUAGUAAAUUUAAUGUUACCGCUGUCUCCCAUAUGAAGCUAGUGCAGAGGUAAGAGAGUAUUUAUCUAAAACAAUUCCUACCCAAUGCUCUAUUUAAUGCAUUACAGUUCUACAGACUACAGGUACAGAAAUAAUAUAAAUGUGGUAGGUUUGAGCAACAUGUGACUUUACAUAUGGCUAACAGAUCUAGAGAGGCUCAGUGUGAGUAGAUAGUAUUAGAAAUAAGAUCAGAAGCCAACUAUGAUAUUAAAAUAUAAAAAGAAGGGUGAAUGGGUGGAGUUUAAGUAUCCUUUGGUUUACAUUUGUUUUUAUCCUUUUCUUACUUCAAAUGCUAAGCCACAGGAAAAAGUCAGUGAAUAUCUGACAAAACUUAUGUAAUGAUGUGAUUUUAAUUAUAGAGAGCUAAUUCCUCUGACUAGCAUAUAUCAGCACAGUCAGCAUCUAUUAAAGUUAUGCUAGGAAUUUCAUAGCCAAAUAAAAAACUAUGAAACAAAUGUAUUGAUGAUACAAAAUUACAAACCAAUACUGAACCUCUUCUGACGGUUAUGACCGCUCAGAGAUCAACAGACUUUUAAUGACUAUCAUGAUGCAAAAUAAACAAUAAACAAGUUAGAGAUGGAACCUAAAGCAAGGUAAAUUACAUAGGGGAUAAAUUCAACAACAGGGCAUUUGGUCUAGUGGUAUGAUUCUCGCUUAGGGUGCGAGAGGUCCCGAGUUCAAUUCUCGGAAUGCCCCAGGUUUUCGGAACUUAACAUUUUAACAAACAUUGUCGUGCUCAGUUACAUCAUCUUGAGAAAAAGCUAAGAGCACUAAUUAAUAGUAAGACAAAAAAACAACAACCAUUUUUUCAAGAAUACUUUAAAAAAUAACACCACCAAGACUCAAAUUAGUAAGAUUCUGCCAAGCAUGUUCACCUGCCAGUUUACCACUUAGCAGAUCUGCAAGUCAAAAAUACAACACAAAACUCUCAAGUGAUCCCAGAUACUAUGUUGAUAGAUCAGCACAAGGAGUAUCUCAACUAUGAUAAAUGAAUGUUUUGAAGGCUUAUUGCUUUACAACUUUACCUUGGUUUAUUUGACAGAGCAGGCAAAUUGAGAAGUGACAACAAGCAUAUGGUUUCAUCAUUGCAGUUUUGCCUUUGUUUUCAAUUAAAUAAAAGCAAGAAAGCAGAGAAGUGACAAUUAGCUAAUAUAUUGUACUUCAGCAAAGAUUCAUCAACAAUGUUCAUUUUCAUGGAUCAGGGAUGUCAACAAUGAUAGCAAAAAUUAUUGAUCAAUGGAAAGUGUUACCAAAAACCAAGCAUUUGUUUAGUGGUACAAUGCUGAUGAAGGCAAGAGCUAUUUGAUUUUCCUUCUCUAAUUAGGAGGAAGAUUGCUAUCUCCAACCAAUGAAUCAUUUAAUGUUUAUUUGAGCAACGAAGCAUGAACAUAACAAGGUUCAUGUUGUUUUGUGACAAAAACUUACACACAAUGAGCAGCAGUCUAAAAUACAAACAAGAAGAACACACUAGAUCAAUUAAGAACGUAUCUAAACUAAUCAGAAAAUAAGAAAACACAAGCCCAAGCCUCUUUAUCAUUCCUAAACUUGGUAUCCUCUACUUAAGAUGUGACUUCCAACACAAAUUAUGAAGCAUUAAACUUCUCCAGUUAAAGUUCCUUGGGACAUGUCCAAAAGGAUUGAGUAUGAUAAAAAGGAAUGUAAAAUUAUGAACCACAAACAAUCAAAGGUGACAGCUAUUUAGGAAUCAGAAAAAAGUGAACAGCAGAGGAAAGGGUGAAAAAGAGGUCAAAACACUCUGUUUAUCCACUAAAUAUUAGUAUUCUGAUGGGAGUCAGCAUAAGUUCUCAAAGAAAAUCCCAGUAAGGAAAUAUAGAUCAACAGCUAUUGAAAUAAGAAGCCGAAAGGUUACAUAUAUGCAAUGAAUAUGGCAUUUACAGUCAAGUUAUUACUAAUCGUUGGAAAAAUACAUUGAUCAUGAGUCAAAAUGACAUUCUUCAACAACUGGGCAUUUGGUCUAGUGGUAUGAUUCUCGCUUUGGGUGCGAGAGGUCCCGAGUUCGAUUCUCGGAAUGCCCCAUUCUUUGUUUGAUUCAACAAACAUCUCAUUUUUCCUUUUUUAUUCCAAACUAGAAUUACUUCAAAAUCUGAUAAGCAAAAUGCCCCCUUUCUUUUAAAAGAAAACAUAACUUUAAAUCCGACUCCCCUUCAUGAAACAAGUAAAGAUAGUUUUAUCAGAAAGAAUUCCUACCCAGUGCAUUAUUAGAAUUAAACUUCUAAAGGUAGGAGAAAUGUAAAUGUUGUAUGUUUGAGCAGUUCAACAGGGGUUGACUGAAAUUAGAUUUACUAGUAUCAGAGAUCAUAUUCAAAACCAACUAUGACAACAGAAAUAACAACAAGAAUUAAUCCGUGGAAUAAAGUCAUCCUUUUUCCUCUUUAUUACUCUUAGCUUUUCUCCUUUUAUUUUUUUUGAAUCUUGUGCUAUAAAAAUGCAAAUCAACAAAAGUCAACAGACUGUUUGACACCUAACUUAUGUAAGGAUGUAUUUUCCAUUCAGAGACAACUAAUUCCAACAACUUGCAUAUGUUAAAUUAGGAAUGUUAGAGUAAACGAUGACAUAUGCUCCUAUUUUUGCAACUUAGCAGUGAUAUUUAUGAUUGAGUCACUGCUGAUAUUUGGAAAAACACAUUGAUCAUGAGUCAAAAUGACACCUAUAAACAAUUGGGCACUUGGUCUGGGGGUAUGAUUCUCACUUUGAUAUUGAUGUUGAAAAGUUUUUAAAUUUCCGCAUUAUUCAAUGUCUAUAUGCAAUGACGAAUAUGCCAAGGGCUCGUAUAAGACCCCUUCGGGGUCAAGUACGCCGUGUUACGCCUAGGGGGUGCUCUCGGGGCGUGACAAUAUCUAACAUAACUAAUGUAAGGAUGUAUUAUUAAUUUCAGAGAGAGCAAAUUCCUACGACUAGAAUAUAUCAGUACAGUCAGCAUCUAUUAAAGUUAUGCUAGGCAUUUCAUGACCAAAUAGAAAACUAUGAAACAAACGUAUUGAUGAUACAAAAUUACAAACCAAUACUAGAACUCUUCUAACGGGUAUGGCCGCUCAGGCCUCAGAGAUCAACAGACUUUUAAUGACUAUCAUGAUGCAAAGUAAACAAUAAACAAGUUAGAUAUGAAACCUAAAGCAAGGUAGAUUACAUAGGGGAGAAAAUAAAUUCAACAACAGGGCAUUUGGUCGUAUGAUUCUCGCUUAGGGUGCGAGAGGUCCCGAGUUCAAUUCUCGGAAUGCCCCAUUUUUUUAGGAACUUGACAUUUUAACACAAAACAUAGUCUUGCUCAGUUACACCAUCUUGAGAAAAAGUUAAGAGCACUAAUUAAUAUGUAGACAAAGAAACCACAACCAUUUUGUCAAGAACACUUCAACAAAAUACACCGCCAAUACUCAAAUUAGUAAGAUUCUGCUAAGCAUGUUCACCUACCACUUUACCACUCAACAGAUCUGUGAGUCAAAAAUACAACACAGAACUCUGAAGUGAUCCCAGAUACUGUGUUGACAGAUCAGCAGAAGGCGCAUCUCAACUAUGAUAAGUAAACGUUUUGAAGGUUUAUUGCUUUACAACUUUACCUGGUUUAUUUGACAGAGCAGGCAAAAGGAGAAGUGACAAUGAGCAUAUGGUUUCGUCUUUGCAAUUUUGCCUUUGUUUUCAAUUAAAGAAAGUAGGAAAGCUAAGAAGUUACAAUUAGCUAAUAUAUUGUACUUCAUCAAGGAUUCAUCAACAAUGUUCAUUUUCAUGGAUCAUGGAUGUCGACAAUGGUAGCUAAAAUUAUUGAUGAAUGGCGAGUGUAACCAAAAACCAAGCAUUUGUUUAGAGGUACUUUGCUGAUUAAGGAAAGAGCUCUUUGAUUUUCCUGCUCUCCAGCAGAUGAAUCAUUUAAUGUUCACUUGAGUAAUGAAGGCAUGAACAUCACAAGGUUCAUGCCGUUUUGUGACAAAAACUUACACACAGUGAGCAGCAGUCUAAAACACAAACAAGAAGAACACACUAGAUCAAUCAAGAACGUAUCUAAGAUAAUCAGAAAAUGAGAGAACGAGAUGUGACUUCCAACACAAAUUAUGGGGUUGAAACAUGAAGCAUUAAACUUCUCCAAUUAUAGUUCCUUGUGACAUGUCCAAAAGGAUUGAGUAUGAUAAAUAAGGAAUAUAAACAUUAUGAACCACAAACAAUCAAAGCUGAUAGCUCUUUAGGAAUCAGAAAAAAGUGAACACCUGAGGGAAGGGUGCAAAAGAGGAGUUCAAAACUCUGUUUAUCCACUAAAUAUUAUUCUAAUGGGAGUCAGCAUAAGUUAUCAAAAACAAUUCCCAGUAAGGAAAUACAUGGCAUUUGUAGUCAAGUUUUCGCUAAUCAUUGAAAAAAUACAUUGAUCAUGAAUCAAAAUGACAUUCUUCAGCAACUGGGCAUUUGGUCUAGUGGUAUGAUUCUCGCUUUGGGUGCGAGAGGUCCCGAGUUCGAUUCUCGGAAUGCCCCAUUCUUUGAUUUUUUUAAGAAACAUUUCAUUUUUCCUUUUAUAUUCUAAACUAGAAUUACUUCAAAAAUAAAAAUGUCCCCUUUCUUUUAAAAGAAAACUUAACUUUAAAACUGACUCCCCUUCAUGAAACAAGUACAGAUACAAGGGAAGAUAGUUUUAUCAGAAAGAAUUCCAACCCAGUGCGUUAUUUAGAAUUAAACUUCUAAAGGUAGGAGAAACAUAAAUGUUGUGUGUUUGAACUAAGCAGUUCAACAGGGGUUGGCUGAAAUUAGAUUUACUAGUAUCAAAGAUCAUAUCUAAAACCAACUAUGACAAUAGAAAAAUAGAAUAAAAACAAGAAUUAAUCUGUGGAAUUUCGUCCUCCUUUUUCCUAUUUAUUACUCAGUUGUUUUUUUUUGAUGACCAUAUUGUCCGGGCCAGCUUUCGCACACCUCGACAAAUUCCAUGGGAUACCGGCCACCUCCCACCAGCAACAAGUACCAAGUAAGUCUGUCCACCAAGGCUAGGACAUACUCUCAGCUUUUUCUCCUUAUAUUUUUUUUACUUUUAUGCUAUAAAAACGCAAAUCAACAAAAGUCAACAGACUGUUUGACAUCUAACUUAUGUAAGGAUGUAUUUUCCAUUCAGAGACAACUAAUUGCAACAACUUGCAUAUGUAAAACGAGGAAUGUUAAGAGUAAAAGAUGACAUAUGCUCCUAUUUUUGCAACUUAGCAGUGAUGAUUAUGAUUGAGUUACUGCUGAUAUUCGGAAAAACACAUUGAUCAUGAGUCAAAAUGACAUGCAUAAACAACUGGGCAUUUGGUCUAGUGGUAUGAUUCUCGCUUUGGGUGCGAGAGGUCCCGAGUUCGAUUCUCGGAAUGCCCCAUUCUUUUUUUUUUAAUGAAUAUACAUCUAAAUUAUUCCUAAUUCAUUUAAAUAAAAUUGACCUUAGAAUCUGACAAGUCAAAAUAAACAAUCUUGGUUUCAUUGAAUGCCACCAUCAACCAAUCAUUCUUUGUUCCUUUUAAAAGAAGAUUUAACCUUUAAAUCUGACUACUCUUUGUGAAACAAGUGCAGAUACAACAUAAGUGUUAUCUGCAAGAAUUUCUGACUCAUGCUCUAUUUAGUGCAUUAAAGGUAAAAGCAAAACAAAGUAUGUAUGUUUUAACUAAGAACAUACCUAUAUGGCAUGUAGUUCUAAAGGGAUAAAGAGAAAUUACUUAAUAGUGUCAGAGAUCUGACCCAAAGUCAACUUUGACACAUUAGUUUAUGCAAUAACAAAAAUCAGGCAACUUUUAAAGGCAAACUACAACAUAUAUUUUUAAUCCAAACUGCCAAUGCAGACAAUUUCUAGUUCUUCUUGUUAUAUACAUAGUCCUCAAUUAUCAGAGCUUUCUAUAUAUUCUGUUAGGUAUGAACUUUAAUUGUAAGUCAACUAAGACUUUCAGCUAAUGUACAUUUUUAUUAUCACAACAGGUAAACUGACUUCUUCCUAAUCUGAAAGAGAACACCUAUGCUAAACCCAUCUGCAUCUGAAAGAUAAGAAUAGUAAAUCAUGAUUCAGAAAAGCAUGCUAUUUUGUGCUCACCUGCUAAUUCACCACUUAGCAGAUAUGAAGGCCGAAAAUACAACACAGAACCCCAAGUGAUCUGCAGUGUUAUGCUAAUAGACCAGCACAACGAGCAUCUCAACCAUGAUAAGUGAAAGUUUUAAGUGUUCUUGCUUUACACCUUUCCGUUGGUUUAUUUGAAAGAGUAGGCAAAAUGAGAAGUGACUUAGCUAGUAAGAUAUUUGUCCUUCAGAAAAGUUUCAUAAACAAGGUUCAUUUCAUGGAUCAUGGAUGUCAACAAUGAUAGAUGAAGUUAUUGAUCAAUGGCAGGUGUUACCAAAAAAUCAAACAUUUCUCUAGUGGUAUGUUGUCUGUUUCAGGCAAGGGAUCCUUGAAUUCUUGCUCAAAUCAGGAGUAAGAUUGCUAUCCCUAGUUGAUGAAUCAUUUAAUUUCUCUUUACUUAAAUUUCACAAGAUUCAUGCUGCUUUAUGACCCAACUUACAUGCAAGGACCUGCAGAAUAAAACACAAACAAGUAGAAACACACUAGAUUAAUCAAGAAGAUAUUCAAAUAAUCUGAAAAUAAGAUUAAACUAAACGUAAAGCCCAUUUUUUCCUUUUUACCAUUCCUAACCUUGGGCAUCUACACAAGUUGUGACACCGACGCAAAUUUUGGAGCUAAAACAUGAAGCAUUAAGCCACCCCCAAAUACAGUUCCUAGUUGACAUGCAGCGGCAGAGCCAAAGGAUGGAAGGUGGUUCGUUCGCCGAAAAUUUACAUCGUAUAUAAAAGGCCAAAAACAUUAUUUGUCUAUAUGGUAGGUUUUAUAAUCCCUUGGCUUCUUCAUGUGUUUACUUCUUUAUAUUUUGAAUCCCUUUAGUGAAACUCCUGACUCCGCUACUGGUGAUAUAUAUGUCCCAAAAGAUUUGAGUAUGACAAAAAUGGUUUGUACAUGAAAUGCACAGGAAACGAUCAAAACUGACAGCUCUUUAGGAAUUAGAGGAAAGCAGGCAUAGAAGAAAGGCUGCAAGAGAAGAAGAGUCUUAAGACUCUCUGUUUAUCUACUACUUCCUCUGGUCCAAAAUAAUUGAUGUUUUACAAAAUCAAGAAGGUAUUAAAAAAAAAUUCCAAAUUUUCCUUUGACACAUUCCUAAUUCAAUGUACAGAUUUGAUGAUACUUAUGUCAGCCUAAGAAGAAAAGAAAAUCAUAACUAAGGGUAUUUGAGUCAAAGUCUCUAUUAAUUUUUAGAAGUGAAUUCAUUAAUCCAUGUGCCCAAGCCUAAAACAUCAAUUAUUUUUGGACCAGAGGAAGUAACAUUAUUCUAAUGGGAGUCCAAAGAAGCCCUCAAACCUUUUACCAGUAAGCAAAUGCAGAUCAAUAGGUGUGAAAUAAGAGGUUAAAAGAUUCUUUAUUUGCAACUAAGCAAUGGCAUUUGUGAUUAAGUUAUUGCUGACCAUUGAGAAAGCACAUUGAUCAUGAGUCAAAAUGACACUCAUCAACAACUGGACAUUUGGUCUAGUGGUAUGAUUCUUGCUUUGGAUGUGAGAGGUCCCGAGUUCGAUUUCGGAAUGCCCCCUUCCUUUUUGAUUAAAUACACAUCUCAAAAUAAUUUUAAGAAAAAAAAAAUCUUAAAUCUCACUCCCCCUUAUGAAUGACUCAAUGAGUGAAGAUGCAAGUUAAGACAGUUUUUAUCUAAAAAUAAUUCCUACCCAAUCUCUACUUAGUGCAUUAAACUUCUAAAUGUUGAAGCAAAGCAAAUGAUGUAUGUUUGAACGAAUCAUACACCUUUUAUAUCCAUGCAGUUCUAGAGGGAUUAAGAGAAAUCACUUUAAUUGGAGAUCUGAUCCAAAGUCAACUAUGACACUGUAAAAGAAACAUGGAUAAUCUGUGGAGUUCAUUUACCCUUUUCUUUUCUUUAUUAUUCUUAACUUUUUCCUUUUCAUUUCAUUUAUUUUUCGUUAAGGCAAAUGCAAAAUUUCAACAGAAGUGAACAUACCCUCGACAUCUAACUAAUGCAGGGAUAUAUUUUCAAUUCAGAGACAACUAAUUCCACCAAUUUGCAUAUUUAUUUUGGACAAGUAAUCCAGCAUCUCCUUAUAUUAACUAGGAAAUUCAUAGCCAAAUAGAGAAGUAUGAAAUAAAUAAAUCGGCAACCACAGUAAUGACAACACAGUGACCUACAAAUUGUUUAAUGCAUAUAAAGAUGAUGCAUAGAAAAAAUAAGCAAAGAGAAAUUAACAGGAAAGAGAACAAAACACAAAGAUUGGGCAUUUAUGGUGCGGAGGUCCCAAGUUCAAUUCUCGGAAUGCCCCACUUUUCAGAAACUGAUAUUUUGAACCUACACAUUUUCUUCCUCAAUUAGACAAUCAAGACAAACAUUAAGAGCACUAACUAAUAAGGGAAACAGUAGUAAAACCAAUAACUGUCAUAGCUUAAAUGUUUGGUUUUAUUAAUUGAGCCUUGGACCGCUUCUUGGUUUUUCUGAAUCUUUUUAUCAAAAUACAAAGUAAAAGCCAAAGCCUCAAAUUAGUAAAACCAAUGAUUAGCUUUAUUGAGAAUCGCAUUCCAUCAGUGGAACAUGCAAGAAAUACACAAGAGAAAGGAUAAUCAGAAUUUAGCCAAACAAAGUUCAUGCAACAAAAUAGUAUGGUAUUGGAGAUAGUUUUAGUUGAUACAGAAAAUUCAAAACAAAUUGUCUCAGAAUUAAGACCUCUAGACAUAGUAGCUGGAGACUACUAUGAGAAAAUUCAAGGCUUUGACUAAGUAAUUAGGGAUGGUGAAGAAAAAGUCUUAAACAUUUGACCUAGUGUCGAUGUUAACAAUGGGUGUGAACCAAAGUUCCUUUAAAAGAUGAGGAAUGCCCAUCUCAACUUCGAUGGAGUUAUUUAAACUAUAAUCUUCACAACUUUCUCGAUGCUGCUUCUCCCUAGGGCUAAAGAGAAUUUAGAGAGUUCGAAACCAAUUUGUUCUAAACUAAUAUCUCAUUAAUGAUAACUAGGAGAUAUAAAGAUUAUUGAACAUGUCUGACUAGAACUUCCAACUACCAAGAGAUGAAAAAGUUAUGUGAGGUAAAAAGAAGAUAAGUUAGCCAAUUGCUACUAAGAACCUAACAAAAUUCUCAACAUGUGGGUCAACAUACCAUUUGUGUAGGUCAAGGUUGAGAAUUGGGGUUGCGCCCUACCUUGUCAGCCUAAGCCUUGUUAUGAGAACUGACAGUUUCCAACUUUCUAUGAGGAGCUCUGUCCCUAAUUCAAUUAAAAAUCACCCCUCCGCUCCCCCUUUUUCCCUCCAAAGCCCCUUGCUCCAAACAUUUUUUGUACUUCUAAUCAGACAAAAUAAAAAUAGGGUAAAGAUGAGACUAAAUGGAGAUCCAUGAAAUAGGUAUGAACUAGUGGCAUGAUUCUCAAGUAGGGUGCAAUAGGUCCCAAGUUUAUAUCCCGGAGUGGCCUAUGAGUCAAUUCAAUCAACUAAUCCUAACAUUUUCAGCUAUAUAUGUCUUUUGUCUAUGACUGAGCGAAGGGUUAAUACCCUCAGCAGAAGGAAAUUAUACUACUCAAGUGCACAUUUACUCUGUUCAUAAGCAAAAGUGUUAGCACCGUCGACAGGGUAAUUAGUAAACAAUUGUAUGCAUCAAUCAGUUGUAAGUUUUGAAUCAAGACUCAGAAACCAACAUCAAAUAGUACCACAUAAAAACAGGGUUAGGCUAUAGAGCAAUGGAAAAGAUUGGUUCACCAAUAAUUCUUUUUAUCAAAGAACAAAGUAAACACUGCCCAACCUUCAAAUUAGCAUAAUAGAGAAAUCAAAAUUCAUCAAUAAAACAAGCAAUUGAAACUAUAAUCAAAAUUAGGACAAAUAAAGUUCAUGCAACAAAAAAUGUAUGAAAUUGGAGACAGUUAUAGUCCGUUCCGUACAGCACAAAAUAGAUUUUGCCUUGGUAACCCUAUAAAAAUUCACAGCUUGAGGAGUACUGAAGGAAAAUCUCAAGGCUUCUAGAAACUUUUGUUCUAGUGUGUGUAGAGUAUACAUCUAGAUACUGAAUCAAUGAAUAAUCAAAAAAUCAGUUGUAUGUUAUGAUUCAUACUCACUUACUCGGUAACUACAAUCUAAUAAUACAGGGAUGAAAUCCAGCAGAGGCAAAAAAAAGAAAAAAAAAAGGCUUUAUGAUUUCUUCAUACAUGCCUAAACAAAACGCAAUUAAGGAUGACAAAUAGAAGCGAGUUCAUCAUAAAAAAUACGCAACUAUAGUAAUAGAUGAGAAUUGAGAGCUGAAAGCACUAACCGGAAAACUCAAUGGUAGGCCAUUUCUCUAAGCAGAGAAUGUUAGUUGCAGAGAAUAGAAUUUUUGAGUAUUUAAUUCUUCCAUCGGAAUGCGGGCGAAUGUGCGCAUGUCCACAGAGUAUUAUUUUUUCUUUACAUUUUUAUUAAGGAUAAAGGAAAAGGUCUGAACGAAAAAAAA
rnacentral:lncRNA from 1 species